UUACAGCGCCGGAUGAUGAAUCAGCGGUUCACAUUCACUUUACCCGCACGAUACUGUAGCAGUAAAAUAUCUCGCUUCCAGAGUUUUCAUCUUCCUCCCCGUCGCCUCUCCAGUCUCCCCCUGCAUCUGCAGUGCCCGCGAUGGUGGCGAUGGCGGCGACCGCAGCGGUGGCAUCGUGUCGAGGAAGCCGGCACCUGUGGCGGCGCCCCUUCCCUCCCUUCCGUCACCGCGUCCUCCAGCUCCUCCCCCUCGUCGCUUGACUCCACGCUGCCGUCCCCAACGGCCCGCCGCUGCUCUCCGAACCGACGACAGUGUCGCGGCUGCCUUCGCAGGUUACGGCCUCUGGCACUGGCGCAGGUGGUCUGCUUGGCACUGUAGCACGCGGAGUCAACCUCAUCCCCACGGCCGGCAGCUGGCCCUGCGUCUAGCGGGCUCCGCUGAUGCCGCUCAAGGUCUGCUCGGUGCCGCAGCACCAGCUCCACCCAUGGCGUCGACAUGUUGAAGUCGUGAUGGCGCAGCAGCACCGACAACAGCAAGGCCAUGGUCAUGUUCAAGAUGUGGUUCCACGCCACGCACUCACGGCAUCGCCUCCUUCCCUCCCAGGCCUGAAGCAGAGGUUCGAUUUUUUUCCCAUUUUUGACGCGUAACAGGGUGUGGUUCCUAAUGCAUGUGCCGGACCUAGCCUCCUGGGGGUGGGAGGCGAUGGUGGUGGUGGUGGCGCUACAGGACACAGGGUGGCCGACGGCGCGGUCGGAGCCCGCGGAUGUCGCCAGCGGCGCGUGCCGAUGGGCCCCCAUCUGGGAGGCCACCAAACUCCCUGCUGCUCGGCAAGGACAGGAUCUUGGUUCCCAGUCCGGCGACGAGCGGUGGGAGGCGGCCGUGGUAGGAGACUGCCGCGCAGUCUUCGGAGAAGAAGGCGGAGUAGUACAACCCCGUGCAGCUCGCCCAAUAGCGCGGCUCCUGCGGGUCACCCUCCCUCGCGUCGCCUCUCCUGCGCUGCCGCGGCUGGUGGUCCACCAUGAGCUCGGCAUCUCCGCUGCCGCGAGCUCGAGGUAGCAGAGUAGAUGUGGAGCAGCGGAGCAGUGCAAAUUUCCUAGCUCCACGUUCCUAUGUUCUUGAUUAUUUUUCUUUUCCGCUUUCUUACUGGUCGCCCGCGGUAUCCAAUUCAUGAUGAUUUUUAUAACUAUGAUUUCAUUUAUCUCUUUGUUUUGCAGGUUCUACAUUCUACAGUCCAAUUCACUCUACAGAGGACUGCUACUUACAUUAGGGAUUUCACAAAUCUGUCUUCGUUCCUGUUAAUUUUUCUCAGUUAGCACAGUUAGCUUCUAUGGAAGGAAUCUUAAGGCUGCAAUACUACCUUGGCAACUAGUUGACCUAUAACCUAUUUCCCAACAAAGAUCCAUCAAUGGUCGCGAAGAACAAGCAGAACAGUAAGGCAACAUUGACCAAUGAAACAAUGAUGGCAUUAGCAGGCUUUGAUCAAAGAGAUGCACAUAAUGGAAAUGAUGUCUUUCCAAACAUGUGAUCAGGUAGCUCCUGGCUGGAUUCUCCAUUUUAUACAUGUCUGGAACUCCACCUCAGACUUAUACAACAAAAAGAAUAUAAAUGGUUUCACAUUAGGAAACAUCAGCUCUAUGAAGAUAGUAAAUUCUGCAUAUAUGAGCCAAGGCCAAGCAGUCCCAAGCAAAAUAUAUCGUCCACCGAAAAACAACUAUAAGACAUGGCGGCAGUGGCGAACCUGCAUUUCCUGGGCUCGCGACUGCGUGAACAUCAACUGGGGCCUGGAAUUACUUGAACACACUACGUAUGGUGCUUACAACAGUGUUGUAACAGUGCAUGUACAAAACGAUGCUCCAGCGACAAGAUGUGAACCCAGUCUUUAUUACAAAAAAAAAAACAAAAAAAAACAAGGCAAGAUCAUGACACUCCCUGGAGCGCCAACAAAAACUUAAUACAAAUCAGGAGCGGGACAACCAUUCACCAUUCCACGGAAUUUACUUCAGCACUGCCUAUGCUGGAAGCUGGAAAAUGUAAUAAGCAGUAGCGCUUUUUGUAUAAAUAAUUGUACUAUUAUAUAUGCCUAAUAAUAUAUGGACAUACAAUGCUAAUGCUAUGUCUAUAUGUAUUAAUGAUGUCCAACCUUAACCUAA